rnacentral:lncRNA from 1 species
CUCAAAAUAAAAAGGAGGAAAUUCUAAAUUCUUAGAAUUAUUAGAAUAAUAAUGCAGGUUAAAAUUAUUUCAGUAUCUGGAAUAUAUAACAGUUUUGGUAUAACACCAGUGAUAAAAAUUUGUGGAGUGUUCUGUGUGGACCAAAAAUCCGAAAGUGAUAAAGUAACAAUAAUAUUUGAAUAAUCUGGAGAUAUGAUGUGUAUUUGGUAUUCAUCUUUUUCUAUUUUUCGAUGAAAAGAAAAUGGAUAGAUGAGAUCUUCAUGUGAAAUGGGACACAGAAUUUUUAAGAUGAUUCUCAAAGAAAGUUGCUAACACAGUUACUCACUUGAUGUCCCGACACAGGGCUGUGCAGGGGAUGGUUGCUGCUGAUGGUCACUGGCAGCCGCAGGGUGGGUUUUCUGGCCACUAUUUUGUCCAUGAGUGACAUUGGGCUGUCGUGUAUUACAUGCAGGUGAGUUUCUAAAGUUUAGAUGAGGAGAGAAACGUAAGAACACAGAAGAUGGGAAAAUUAAAGAUCCCACUGCCUCAACCACAUUCCACUGAGGAGAACUUGUCACUGAGAUCAGGAUAUGCAGGGAGUAGAGAGGAGUUUGGGGAAUAUUAAAGAACAGAUCCAACCUAGUUGAUCUCCCCAUGGAAGGAGGGUUUAAAUGUUUGUUCACAGAUAAUGGUGGCUGAUAUGAAGAUUCCCACAGAUUUCAGAAACGGUCUCCAUUAACAAAUGCCAUACUUCAUUUAGAAUUGACUGCCUUUGUGUAAUUUAUCUUCCCCCUUUAGGCAGCACCACAGAAGAAUGUUCUCAGAGUACUUCGUGAUCCUGUAUGAGUUCCUGGUGCAGGUCCUGGAGGAAAAGCCUGCAUGGGGGAGGGAGCCCUUCUCACGUGCAGCCCGGAGGCUGUCACGUCACCUCACCCACCACUGCCCUUCAGUCACUUCAUGAAUAUUUAUGAGUUAAUCUUCCUGAAACAUGGUAUUUGGCAGUGUCUUUCCCAGAUGAAGAAGAUGAGACUCAGAGCAAUACAUAAGUUGCCCAAGGUCAGAGAGCAAGUAAGUACCAGAAAUAAAAGCCAGAUAAAUCUAAUUCCCAUAUCCUUGCUCUUUCAAUGAUGUUUCAGAGUUGAUUACAAAAAGAACCGUUCUGUGUGCUCAGGAUAAUUUACUACCUACUAAAUUUAACCAUAGGGCAGUCUUAUAAACAGGGUAGAGUAUGCAGUUAAGAUAAAAUUUGAGAGGAAAAAAUUAAAUUAAAAUAGUACAUAACCAAUGAUCAGAAUAAUCUCUCAGUAUUUUAGAAAUUUAUGUAAGAAUAAACUAGAUACUGAUAAAAAAUUCACAUUCUUUAUGCACAAAUCUUGUAAGUAGCUACUGUUAAAGAGAGGAUAUUAUUUACCUAGAAGAAAGUGGGGUUGUCAACCACUAUAUAACCAUUCGUGGGGUGAAUGUCUUUUUUAUUUUAGGCCUCUGGCUGAUGGAUCCAAGAGGUAGAUACGUGAUGUCAAAAUAUUCUCUUUUAUAGGUAAUUACAAUUUACAAUGGAAGAUACAGAGGCCACAAGGUAGUAGAGUUGAGUUAUAUUAACAGAAAACCUUGUUAGAGAAAAGAACCACCUCUCACUAUUAUGUUCAAUGGCAAAGAUUAUUAGAAGGUACAGCAAAAUGGACACACAUGCGAGUAUACCCACAUUGAUAUUGGAAGUAACUUUUUUCUUAUAUACUAUAAAUCAUAUCCCAGAAUAUACUCAUAAUGUGUACACUUAUCGGGAUAUUACAAUCAAUGUACAAAAUAUGUACCAUAUGUACAUUGACUGAUGUACAUAUGUGUACACAAUACAGAUGUACAAAAAAUGUACAUAAUCUGUACAAUAUGUACAUUUAUAUGUACAUAAUGUGUACACAAUAGGUAUGUACAUAAUGUGUACAAUAUGUAAAUAUAUUGUAAUAUUACAAUGAUUUCAUAUAAUCACAACAGCAUAUAUAAUCACAAUACACAUAUAAUACAUAAUAUCAAUAUAAAUGUACAUAUUGCACACAUAUACAUUUACAUUUAUUGUGAUAUUACGAUAUGUACACAUGUACAUCAUGCACACGUGCAGAUUUGCGGUAUAUACACGUGUACAUAAGUGCACAGUAUGUACAUAUGUACACUACACAUAUGUUCAUAUGUAGAUAUGUACCUUCUGUACAGGAGUACACAGUAUGUACAAUAUGUACACGUAUAUACUCGGUACACAUAUAGGUGUAUACCCACUUUGGUAACCGGAGAGAUUUCUAUCUAAUAUACUAAAUAUAAAAUCCCAGAAUGUAGUCGUAGUGUGUACAUUUAUUGUCGUAUUGCGAUAAAUGUAUUAAAUAGGCACAAUCUGUACAUGUACUCUGCUGUACAUAGGUGUACACAAUGCACAUGUACAAAAAAUGUACAUAAUCUGUAAAAUAUGUACCUAUAUAUUUCUAUGUGUACACAAUGCAUAGGUACAUAAUGUGUGCAGUAUGCACAUUCCUUAAAAUAUCAGUGAUAAAAUAUAUAUAAUCACAGUAAGAUAUAUAAUCACACUAAUACAUAUAUAUCAUGUAAUAUCACCAAAAAGUACAUAUUGUACACAUUAGGUAUGUAUUAGGUACAUAUGUAUAGUGCACAUAUUAUGAAAAUAUAUAUGUAUCAUGAUAACACCAUAUGUACACGUAUACAAAUAUGUGCCUACUAUUUAAACAAUGUACACAUGCAGAAAUAGGUGCAAACUACAUACCUAUGCACAGCAGGCUAUUACUGCAGUUCUGCUCAUAGCAGCCUCAAUGCCCACCCUGGCUGCUUAAAGACCCCCUGGCUAGGGGGCUGUACCCACAGCCCCCGCCAGAGGGUCCAUAACAGCUACCAGGCCCACACUGGCUGCUUAGGGACCCCCUGCCUAGGGCGCUGUGCCCACAGCUGCUGGGGCCUGGCUAUUUUGAAAAUGUGGUGUAAUAUGAUACUGGCAACCAUAUCACACAGAAAUGAUAAUGUUAUUGUGGUUCUUUACAUAUUAGGCAAUAGUUCUAGUUACACAUUUGGCAUAUUGACAAAAAUGUCAUCCUCACCCCAUUGACAUUAGAAUUGAAAGCAUAGGAGGGUUUCACCCCUUGCAAUGUUUAAUUCAAUAUAAUUGUUUUCUUGUUUACAUUAGUGACCAUAUCAGAGCACGGUGUACACCUCUUGCAGUAUUCAGAGUAUUUCUCUAUGGGCAGCAACAUUUUUCUCUCCUUAUCUGGAUAUUAGAAAGAAUAUCACAGGACCGGCUUACAGCGCCAGUCACAUCGUGAGCAAUGUCAUCUGUAAUCCCCUCGUUAUUAAGAACAAUGUAACGGGGGUCUUGUGUGCUUUUGGAGAUAUUUUGAGUAAUAUCCUUUUAGUUUCUGGAUAUUAGAAACAACACUACAGUGGUGGUGUACACUUCCUGCGAUAUUAAGAGUAUACUCAUCCUUUGUCCCUGGGAUAUUAGGAACUACAUCACAGAAGCGUUGCACUUUGCCUAUAAUAUUGGAACAAUCACAGAGUGUACACCUUCUUUCAUUGUGAGAGAAAUACCUACUUAGGAUAUGAUGGAUAAUAUCACAAAAUGGACACACAUGGGUAUAUACCCACUGUGAUAUUGGAAGUCAUUUUUAUCUAAUAUACUAAAAGUCAUAACCCAGAAAAAACUCAUAAUGUGUACACUUAUUGAGAUAUUACACUCAAUGUACAGAAUAUGUAACAUAUGUACAUUGACUGUGAUGUACAUACAUGUACACAAUACAGAUGUACAAUAAAUGCACAUAAACUGUAUCGUUUGUACGAAUAUAUGUACAAAAUGUGCACACAAUGGGUAUGCACAUAAUGUGUACAAUAUGUACAUUUAUUGCAAUAUCACAAUGUUAUAUAAUCACAACUGCAUAUAAAAUCACAAUACACAUGUAAUAUGUAAUAUCAAUAUAAAUGUACAUAUUGCAAACAUUAUGUACAUUUACAUUUAUUGUGAGAUGAUAUGUAAACAUGUACAUCAUGUACCCAUUAUGUACAGAUGCACAAUAUAUGCAAGUGUACAUAUGUGGGUACAGUAUGUACAUAUGUACACUACACAUGUGUACAUAUAAUGUAGAUAUGUACCUUCUGUUCCCGAGUACAUUCUAUGCACAAUAUGUACACAUAUAAACUAUGUACACACCUGGGUGUACAACCACUUUGGUAACCGGAGAAAUUUCUAUCUAAUAUACAAAAUAUAAUAAUUCAGAAUGUAGUAAUAGUGUGUACAUUUAUUGGCAUAUUGCAAUAAAUGUAUAAAAUAG